rnacentral:lncRNA from 1 species
AGAACAUCAAAAAUUGCCAGCAAAUCACCAGAAGUCAGGGGGCGAAGCGAAUAGCAGAUUCUUUUCAGUAGCAACUGACUCUGCUAACACCUUGGUCUGGAACUUCUAGUGUGUAAAAGUGUGAGACAACACAUUUCUGUUGUUUAAGACACACAAUCUGUGGUACUUUGAUACAGCAGCCCUGACAAACUAAUACAUGGGGUGUCUCAUUGUAGUUUUAAUCAGUAACACCCAUUAUGAACUGAAAACGUCUGCUACUUUUAAGAGAAAGGAUUAUUUGAGGACACCAAGAGGUGACCAUCAGCAAGCCCAGGAGAGAGGCCUCAGAAGAAACCAGACCUGCUGAUUCCUUGAUCUUGAACUUCUAGCCUCCGGAACUAUCCAACUUGAAUGCUUCCUGAUUAAAUAUAUACAGGAGUGAUUUCAGAGGAAUUUAAGUUUUGGAUCAUUCUUUUGAGAAAGAAAGAAAAGUACCCUUUUAAAAGAGGUGGCUCUUGAACAACACAGGUUUGAACUGCAUCAUUCCACUUAUACACAGACUUUCUUCUGCCACUGCCACUCCUGAGACAACAUGACCAAUCUCUCCCCUUCCUCCUCCUCAGCGUACUUUCAACAUAAAGACGACGAGGAUAAAGGCAUUUAUGAUGAACUACUUCCACAUAAUGAAUAAUUGAACAAAGGAGAGAAUUGUGAGAGUGAGAAAAAGUGAGACAAAGAAGAAAAACUAUAAAUCAGCAAAAUACAGUGCCAAGAGCUCUGGACCACAAAUCAGAAGACCUGAGCCCUAAUUCCUUUCCAGUCAUUGGAUUUGUUCGUCGCUUGCCAAAAUAGCAGCGAACUCUCUGUCAAACUGCAACUCAUUUUAUCGGAGCAAAAACUGAACAAAGAACUGCUAUCAUUUCUGAGGUCAGAGGCAGUGCAGCUUGUGUUACAACUCAAAAGAGUAAUACUCUGAAAAAAGAAAAAAAAAGAUGGCGCUGAAAAUAAACAUGUUCAGCAGCCAUUGUGAUUCAACUUACCCAGAUGUGCUUUUCAUGAGAUGGAGAAGGACGGAUGGAAAAGAAAAGCACACAAAUGUUAAUGGAUACAGUUCAAUCCAAAGAAAACCAUGGAAUAAAACAAGAGCAUUAUUUAAGAUGUGAGAAAGCUCAGGUAUGAGAAAGACAUGGUGCCAUUUUGUAUUUCAUCAUGACACACAUACUCACUGCGUCGAAAAGCAUAGUCAGGCUGAGGGUAGUUCUAAUAGUUGACCAAUAAGUCUAUGUCUUGAGUAUGAGCCACUCUGAAACAUGCAUGACCACAUUUUCCCAGCCUCGAGUACAUCCCAGGAGGAAAUCAAGAAAUCUUGGUAAAGGACAUUCUUUACCUCAGGCCACUUCCAUGCUAUUUUACCAGUAGAAACAAUAACUUAUUAAUUGGCACUUAGAUUUUUAUAUAGCUUUAUAAGCCUACUGCUAAGGCCCAAGAAAAAAGAACAGCAGACAUUAGAAUGGGCAGCAACUUGAAGUGAAGAAUGUCCUUCCUAGUUUGAGGAUCUGAAAAUCUAGAUUCUAUUUCUCAUACACAGUUUGGUCAAAAUUAUUAGCAGAUUCUGAUCUUCAAUUUCCUCAACACAAUCCCUGGCAAUAGAAAUGUGUAAAGUCCAUUCCAGAUCCAUAAUGUUAUUAUUCCAACCAAUGCUGUAAUAAUAAUUACUAUUUUGGUAAACAUAUAUGGCUAGUAAUCAGAACAUAAGAAAGUGUAAAAAUGUUCUAUUCCUCUUCUUCGGUGGCCAUAUUACUUCCUUCUCUAUUUGACUGGCAAAAUAAACAUCAAGUUUGUGUCUAUUGUGGCUCUUUCAGUGGUAGAAAUAUUUAAUUAUUUGAAUAGGUGUUUAUAAAUGUUGUUUUUGGGGAAACAUCCAUAAAUUAUAUUGGUUCACCAAUAUUACCAGAAAUCAUCACUAAAACGACAUUGAUACACAUAUAGCUUUUGAAGAACCCACUUGCUCCCUGGAUGUAGUAGAGGCAUUGAGAAAAUAUGGAAGUUAAAUAAUUCAACAAAAAUUCAUGAGAGUAUUGUUUUAAAAAUAUAUUACAAGCAUAAUAGCCUAAUUAUUAAAAAAUAAAAUUGUUACUACAACUCAUAAAACAUGUUCAAUAUAACAAAAUAGAAAGCAGAAAUUCCUAUGUCAGAAAUUAGGCAAGUUAGAGCAUCUUCUUUUUUAUCGCACAAUUAUUAUAAAGAAAAGAUUGAUGUGCAAUGGAACACCCUGCACAUGCCUCCUCUCAAGGCAUUCAUUCAGAGAAACCGUGUACUUUUUAUUAAAUCGGCACUUUGAAAAAAAUGCAUAUUUUUGGCCUUAACUCCACAGCAUCUGUGGGAAACUCCUUAGAUUUUCACAUAAACAAAAGCAGAAAUGUUCAUAAACACUGGCACUACACUGUCCCAAGAAAUUUAUCAUAUUUUUCACAUCAUACACCCCACAGAAAUGAAAUUAAGACCAAAAGGAGAUAGUUUUUAGAUUUUAAAAUGAUUUUCUUGUCAACAUACCUGUGAACUCUACGAUGAGCUCUGAAAAAAUAGGCAAUUUCUGAGCUUUCCAGGAAAAUUGCCAAAAGCAUUUGGGACUAGUUAUCACCAUGGACAACAUAAUCUUUCUGAGCCUACUAGCUAUCUAGGAAUCACUUCCCUAUAAAACAAGUUGAUUAAAUUUGCACGUAGUGAAACCUAAUAUUUAUUAGAUGUUCCUUGAUCAUUUUUUAAAAUAGAAAACUUACACAGUAUAAAUACCUUAAAAUAUAAAAUAUAAGAUAAAAUAUGAAAAUAAACAGAAAACACAAAUUUAAAAGAUACUGCUCAAAAAGCAUUGCACAAAUUUCUAAUAUUUUUGUUAUCAAUUCGUAUAAAUUAUCUGAUUUCUCAUAGUUUUUAUGAGCUUUCUUCUCUU